rnacentral:rRNA from 1 species
CCUACGGGGGGCUGCAGUGGGGAAUAUUGGACAAUGGGGGCAACCCUGAUCCAGCCAUGCCGCGUGUGUGAAGAAGGCCCUCGGGUUGUAAAGCACUUUCAGUGAGGAAGGACGCCUGGUGGUUAAUACCCAUCAGGAAAGACAUCACUCACAGAAGAAGCACCGGCUAACUCCGUGCCAGCAGCCGCGGUAAUACGGAGGGUGCGAGCGUUAAUCGGAAUUACUGGGCGUAAAGCGCGCGUAGGUGGCUUGAUAAGCCGGUUGUGAAAGCCCCGGGCUCAACCUGGGAACGGCAUCCGGAACUGUCAAGCUAGAGUGCAGGAGAGGAAGGUAGAAUUCCCGGUGUAGCGGUGAAAUGCGUAGAGAUCGGGAGGAAUACCAGUGGCGAAGGCGGCCUUCUGGACUGACACUGACACUGAGGUGCGAAAGCGUGGGUAGCAAACAGGAUUAGAUACCCUUGUAGUC